UACAGAGGGGGCAAGCGUUGUUCGGAAUUACUGGGCGUAAAGGGCGCGUAGGCGGCCCUCUAAGUCGAACGUGAAAUCCCUGGGCUCAACCCAGGAACUGCGUCCGAUACUGGGAGGCUUGAAUCCGGGAGGGGGAUGCGGAAUUCCAGGUGUAGCGGUGAAAUGCGUAGAUAUCAGGAGGAACACCGGUGGCGAAGGCGGAUCUCUGGGCCUUACCUGACGCUCAGGCGCGAAAGCUAGGGGAGCGAACAGG
rnacentral:rRNA from 1 species